ensembl:miRNA
CUUAUGGUAUCUGAAGAUGCGGUUGACCAUGGUGUGUACGCUUUAUUUAUGACGUAGGACACAUGGUCUGCUUCUUCUCAAUAUCACAUCUCGCC